rnacentral:rRNA from 1 species
AUUGAACGCUGGCGGCAGGCCUAACACAUGCAAGUCGAGCGGAUGAAGGGAGCUUGCUCCUGGAUUCAGCGGCGGACGGGUGAGUAAUGCCUAGGAAUCUGCCUGGUAGUGGGGGAUAACGUCCGGAAACGGGCGCUAAUACCGCAUACGUCCUGAGGGAGAAAGUGGGGGAUCUUCGGACCUCACGCUAUCAGAUGAGCCUAGGUCGGAUUAGCUAGUUGGUGGGGUAAAGGCCUACCAAGGCGACGAUCCGUAACUGGUCUGAGAGGAUGAUCAGUCACACUGGAACUGAGACACGGUCCAGACUCCUACGGGAGGCAGCAGUGGGGAAUAUUGGACAAUGGGCGAAAGCCUGAUCCAGCCAUGCCGCGUGUGUGAAGAAGGUCUUCGGAUUGUAAAGCACUUUAAGUUGGGAGGAAGGGCAGUAAGUUAAUACCUUGCUGUUUUGACGUUACCAACAGAAUAAGCGCCGACUAACUUCGUG